GAUGAAGAACGCAGCGAAAUGCGAUAAGUAGUGUGAAUUGCAGAAUUCAGUGAAUCAUCGAAUCUUUGAACGCACAUUGCGCCCCUUGGUAUUCCAUGGGGCAUGCUUGUUCGAGCGUCAUUUGUACCUUCAAGCUUUGCUUGGUGUUGGGUGUUUGUCUCGCCUUUGCGUGUAGACUCGCCUUAAAAUAAUUGGCAGCCGGCGUAUUGAUUUCGGAGCGCAGUACAUCUCGCGCUUUGCACUCAUAACGACAGCGUCCAAAAGUACAUUUUACACUCUUGACCUCGGAUCAGGUAGGGAUACCCGCUGAACUUAAGCAUAUCAAUAAGCGGAGGA
rnacentral:misc_RNA from 1 species